rnacentral:antisense_RNA from 1 species
GAAGCUCUGAAGGCUGCUAAGAGGGCAUGGGAGCUGUGGGAGAGGGUGAGGCUGGAGCCCUGUGGGCUAACAAACAGGGCUCUAAUUCGUGACAUCGUGGCAACAAACUAUUAGAAAUGAGGCCAGACCUGGAAGCCCUCUGGGGGCACAGUCUGGAGGGGGAAACAGAAACAGACAAGAGCUAAGUAGAAUGUAGGCAAUGGCGUCAUAACAGAGAUCUGCACAGUGACCAUUGCACAGUGCGGGGGAAGGCUUCUUAGAGGAGGUAACAUUUUGAAAAGACAACAUGUACAGCUUACAUUAGUACACAACCUCAUCAGAGAGAGAAGAAGGGAAGGGAAUCCCAGGAGCAGGGGCCAUCAUGCUCAAAGGUUCCAAGGUAUGGAAUCCAACCACAAUGCCCACAGGUACGGAAUCCAACCACAGUGCCCACUGUGGUGAAGCCACUGCGCUGGUCCAAGAAGAAAGUGACAAACAAAAUGACAUUGAGCCCAAUUCAUCCUGAAAGCAGAACCUCGGAGCCGUGUGGUUAAGUUGGAAAUUCCACUUUUGGUCCAAGCAAAUCUGAUGUAUCAAGUUUGAGGGUGAGGUUUCAUUAAAGGAAUUUAAAAUAAAAAA